GCCAGGCACUGUGGUGCAUGCCUGUAAUCCCAGCUGCUCGGGAGGCUGAGGCAGGAGGAUUGGGAAUUUAAAGCCAGACUCAUCAAAAAGCUAGGUAGUAAGCAACACAGUGAGAUCCUGUCUCUA
rnacentral:sRNA from 1 species